rnacentral:lncRNA from 1 species
AAAAAAAGAAGUAUUAUUUACCUAAAAUCUGAAAUCCACAACAGAAGCUAGCCAGAAGUUAGCCAGUUCACUAGCUAACGUUAGAAUUCAGCUAACCACGGUUGGCGGUCAUCAGCUAUCCCUUAGCUCGAAAAGCUAUCGGCAGUUUUGUACAACGCGACUCAGACCAGAGCAUACCGGACCUAUUUUCUCUCCAUAUCCCCGGAUUUGUACCGCAAGCUCUGGACAUUUACACCUGAAUCUUGCAGCUAGCUAGCUGCUAUCCAAGUGACUAUUGGCUAACGUCGGUCCUGGAGCUAACAUCUAUUAUUCCGGAGCUAGCCAGCUGAAGAGUUCCAUCAGCCACUCCUGGGCUACAAUCACCUAUCCGGACCCGUUUUACUACCGAUGCGGAGCCCCAUCGGGCCUUCACGACUGGACAACCAACGUUAUCUGCCCGAGGGAGUUAUCCAACUGGCCCCUCCGUCGCGACGUAAACCUGAACGCCCAUCUGCGGCCAGCUAAUCGUUAGCUGUUGUAUCGGCUGCUAUCUGAAUAGGUCUAUCGGCCAAUUUUCUUGGGCCACUAUAACUAUUUUGCCAAUUGGAUUGGUCCCCUCUACCACACGGAACCCUACUAAUCUACCGACGGAAACACACGAGGUGUCUAAUAACAGACCAUCUUCUAUCAGCUUGCUACCCAUGGCCCGGCUAGCUGUCUGAAUCGCCGUGUCCGCAACCGACCUCACUACUCACUGGACCCCUUUGAUCACUUGGCUAAGCAUGCCUCUCCUUAAUGUCAAUAUGCCUUGUCCAUUGCUGUUCUGCACACUCUGCCAACCCGGAUGUCCUAGCCGUGUCUGAAUCCUGGCUUAGGAAGACCACCAAAAGCUCUGAAAUCUCCAUCCCUAACUACAAUAUUUUCAGACAAGAUAGAACGGCCAAAGGGGGCGGUGUUGCAAUCUACUGCAGAGAUAGCCUGCAGAGUUCUGUCCUACUAUCCAGGUCUGUACCCAAACAAUUUGAACUUCUACUUUUAAAAAUCCACCUCUCUAAACACAAGUCUCUCACCGUUGCCGCCUGCUAUAGACCACCCUCUGCCCCCAGCUGUGCUCUGGACACCAUAUGUGAACUGAUUGCCCCCCAUCUAUCUUCAGAGCUCGUGCUGCUAGGUGACCUAAACUGGGACAUGCUUAACAGCCCAGCCAUCCUACAAUCUAAGCUUGAUGCCCUCAAUCUCACACAAAUGAUCAAUGAACCUACCAGGUACCACCCCAAAGCCGUAAACACGGGCACCCUCAUAGAUAUCAUCCUAACCAACUUGCCCUCUAAAUACACCUCUGCUGUUUUCAACCAAGAUCUCAGCGAUCACUGCCUCAUUGCCUGCAUCCGUAAUGGGUCAGCGGUCAAACAACCUCCACUCAUCACUGUUAAACGCUCCCUGAAACACUUCAGCGAGCAGGCCUUUCUAAUCGACCUGGCCUGGGUAUCCUGGAAGGAUAUUGACGUCAUCCCUUCAGUAGAGGAUGCCUGGUUAUUUUUUUUAAAUGCCUUCCUCAACAUCUUAAAUAAGCAUGCCCCAUUCAAGAAAUUUAGAACCAGGAACAGACAUAGCCCUUGGUUCUCUCCAGACCUGACUG